UACGUAGGGUGCGAGCGUUAAUCGGAAUUACUGGGCGUAAAGCGUGCGCAGGCGGUUAUGUAAGACAGUUGUGAAAUCCCCGGGCUCAACCUGGGAAUUGCAUUUGUGACUGCACGGCUAGAGUGUGUCAGAGGGGGGUAGAAUUCCACGUGUAGCAGUGAAAUGCGUAGAGAUGUGGAGGAAUACCGAUGGCGAAGGCAGCCCCCUGGGAUAACACUGACGCUCAUGCACGAAAGCGUGGGGAGCAAACAGG
rnacentral:rRNA from 1 species